ensembl:lncRNA
CCCCGAGUCACAUAUUCUAAGAAAUAGACUGUACUCUCCUCAAAUCGAAAUAAGGGCACUUUAAUUCUUUGGAUUUUCCACAUUUUCGUUGCUAAAGCUCCUAUUUGCUUCCUUUGAGUCUGUAUCAGUUCAUGCAAGUUCUACCAAGGGGGGGAAGCGACACAGCACACUGCCACUUUAGUACGUGAAAUAGUAAGAUGAACAGAACCCGUGAAAGCGUCUGGUGCUGAAGCUGCAGCCCCAGCUCCUAGAGGAGCCUCGGGCCAGCACUGGGGAGCUCUCACAGCCACUCCUGCUUGACCUGGUCCAGGUGGGGAACCUGGAAAGAUUGAAUGUCCUCUGAGUUCAUGGGGCUUUGGCAGUGGGAAAGCUAAACAAAACGGAGCACAGGAAGAGUGUGAGACAGACUUUCCCAAGAUCCCCAGGAGGAUACAUUCCUAUAUCUUCAGAUUCUGUGAUUGCACUCAAGCCAGAAAUAGUUUUACUGCAAGUCCUGUAGGGAUGUGAGACUUGGACCAUAAAGAAGGCUAAGUACCAAAGAAUUGAUGCUUUUGAAUUGUGGUGUUGGAGAAGACUCUUGAGGGUCCCUUGGACUCAAGGAGAUGGUACCAGCCAAUCCUAAAGGAGAUCAACCCUGAAUAUUCUUUGGAAGAACUGAUGCUGAAACUGAAGCUCCAAUACUUUGGCUACCGGAUGGGAAGAGCCAACUCACAGGAAAAGACCUGAUGCUGGGAAAGAUUGAAGGCGAAAGGAGGAGGCAGCAGAGGAGGAGAUGGUUAGAUGGAAUCACCAACUCAAUGGACAUAAAUCUGAGAUGGACAUAAACUCCUGAAGAUAGUGAAGGACAGGGGCAGCCUGGUGUGCUGCAGUCCAUGGGCGCGCAAAGAUUUGGACCCGACUUAGUCACAAAACAGCAACAACAAAAAGAGUCUCCAG